rnacentral:rRNA from 1 species
UACAGAGGUCCCAAGCGUUGUUCGGAUUCACUGGGCGUAAAGGGUGCGUAGGUGGUGAGGUAAGUCGGAUGUGAAAGCUCGGAGCUCAACUCCGAAAUGGCAUUGGAAACUACCUUGCUCGAGGGUUGGAGGGGGGACUGGAAUACUUGGUGUAGCAGUGAAAUGCGUAGAUAUCAAGUGGAACACCAGUGGCGAAGGCGAGUCCCUGGACCGAUACUGACGCUGAGGCGCGAAAGCGUGGGGAGCAAACAGG